UUACGGCCAUACCUAGGCGAAAUUACCAGUUCCCGUCCGAUCACUGCAGUCGUGCGUUUGAGGAGGGCCUCGUUUGUACUAUGGUUGGAGACAACAUGGGAAUCCGGGGUGCUGUAGG
rnacentral:rRNA from 1 species